AGAGCUUGCUCUAAUUAAAUUAGCGGCGGACGGGUGAGUAACACGUGGGCAACCUGCCCUGCAAAUUGGGAUAACUCCGGGAAACCGGGGCUAAUACCGAAUAACAUUGGAAACCUCAUGGUUUCCUUUUAAAAGGCGGCUUCGGCUGUCACUGCAGGAUGGGCCCGCGGCGCAUUAGCUAGUUGGUGAGGUAACGGCUCACCAAGGCGACAAUGCGUAGCCAACCUGAGAGGGUGAUCGGCCACACUGGGACUGAAACACGGCCCAAACUCCUACGGGAGGCAGCAGUAGGGAAUCUUCCGCAAUGGACGAAAGUCUGACGGAGCAACGCCCCGUGAGUGAAAAAGGUUUUCGGAUCGUAAAACUCUGUUGUCAGGGAAAAACAAGUACGGGAGUAACUGACCGUACCUUGACGGUACCUGGCCAGAAAGCCACGGCUAACUACGUGCCAGCAGCCGCGGUAAUACGUAGGUGGCAAGCGUUGUCCGGAAUUAUUGGGCGUAAAGCGCGCGCAGGCGGCCUUUUAAGUCUGAUGUGAAAGCCCCCGGCUCAACCGGGGAGGGUCAUUGGAAACUGGAAGGCUUGAGUGCAAAAAAGAAGAGCGGAAUUCCACGUGUAGCGGUGAAAUGCGUAAAGAUGUGGAGGAACACCAGUGGCGAAGGCGGCUCUUUGGUCUGUAACUGACGCUGAGGCGCGAAAGCGUGGGGAGCGAACAGGAUUAGAUACCCUGGUAGUCCACGCCGUAAACGAUGAGUGCUAAGUGUUGGGGGGUUUCCGCCCCUCAGUGCUGCAGCUAACGCAUUAAGC
rnacentral:rRNA from 1 species